UACGAAGGUGGCAAGCGUUGUUCGGAUUUACUGGGCGUACAGGGAGCGUAGGCGGUUGGGUCCGCCCUCCGUGAAAUCUCCAGGCUUAACCUGGAAAGUGCAGAGGGGACUGCUCGGCUAGAGGAUGGGAGAGGAGCGCGGAAUUCCCGGUGUAGCGGUGAAAUGCGUAGAGAUCGGGAGGAAGGCCGGUGGCGAAGGCGGCGCUCUGGAACAUUUCUGACGCUGAGGCUCGAAAGCGUGGGGAGCGAACAGG
rnacentral:rRNA from 1 species